rnacentral:misc_RNA from 1 species
AAACAGGAAUUAAAUAGUAAUAUUUUUCAAAAUACAAGGAUCAACUAAUUAGUUUCCUUAAACUAGAGGGACUAAAUAGUAGUUUAACUAGUAUUGACUAAUGAAAAAUUUAACGGAGAAACUAAAUAAUUUAACGGAUGCAAAAUAUAGGGACUAAUAGGGUAUUUUUCAAAAUAUGGAGACCAAAUAGUUAGUUUCGUUAAAAUACAAGGACUCAAUAAUAAUUUCUACUUUGUAAUUUUGUUGGUGAUUUUGUUGAGAUAAAAUGUUGAGAUGCAAUUUUAAUAUUGAGAUACAAUUCCUUUUAUUCUUGUUGGGUUCCUUUCUUUUGCUGUUCUGUUUGUUUCUUUGACUCUUGUACUCUAUAUUCUACGAAUGCAGUGUUGAUACAAUUUCACGCUGCUGGGCCCGAGUUGGUAUUAGUCACUGGGCACUGGGUAGGGAAAGUGAGGAAACGGCAUUGUUUGGGCGAAAACACAAUGUUUGGCGUUAUGUACAGAAUCGACAAACCAAACUAACUAUCAUUUUAGUUUGGUUCGGUUUUCAUUUUAUAUGAUUUCUGUAAUUCAGUCUUUUUGGUUCAGAACCAAACCAAACUAUUGCACAACCCUAACAUCCCCAACUUUAUGUUUAUUGUUUGAGUGAUAACUAUCUCUUCUACGAGGCCUUAUUUGGAUGUUUGAUAAUCUAACGUGGACAUAACAAGGUAAUGCAAACAUGUCACAUGACUCCACAAUAGACAAGUCAUGUCAACAAUUAAUGCCUUUUUAUAAAAAUUUUAUCACCAAAGAGUGCAAGUUAGAGGCUAUGGCUUCAAUCAGCGAUUCAUCUUUCCCUUUGGACAAGGGCAUACAAAGAAUUGGUGGCCUAAGAAAUCAGACAAUCUCUGUAGGAGAGAGAUUAUACCCUGCUUUAUAACCAAGCUGCAGGAUCAAAGUAAGGGUGUGUAGCUUGUUUUGUCAAUGCAUAACUGGGUCCAACCUGACCAGUGGCUGCAUCAUGUCAGUUAAAAAAGCCAAUUUUUCAUGAUUCCAAAAGCUUAGAAUCAACUUGGACAUAUCAUAUACCAAACAAAUGGAAUGGCAACCAGGAAUGGCAGGGAAGACAUAUGUUAAUCAUAACAGCAAUAGAGAAUGUUAAACACAUACUGGAAUCAGUGGCUUUCAUGAUUGCGUUGCCAAUAAAAGGUACCUUUGAACACAUAGCUGCAACCACCUGCAAACCCAAUUCCUUAGAAGACACAUGGCAAGGAUUUAUUUAUUUUAUAUAAAUACUCAGGGAACAGUCUGAGUAUUUGGAUAGCUUUAUUCCUGUGUUACAUAGACUCACGGACAAGUGUUGGAUACAGAAUAUAUCCCAUUCAGGGGACUCAUUCAAAAUCAAAUUUUGAGAUACUUGGUAACAGAUCCAGAGUUGACGUUUUGAACAAUGAUCUUAACAUUUUGGUCACACAAUAAGGAGUGCAAUCCUAACAUUUUGGAUGGAAUGGAACAGGACAAAAAAGAAUAUAACAAGUGAAAAGAUCAAACUAUACCGCAUUUAUAAAUUUUUCAAUUUUCCUUUUCAGUAAUUACACAUUUUAAGAAUUUAGGCCUCCUAAUCCAAAUUAUUCUCUUUUUUUCUAAACAUAAAAUAUCCAACAGUAUUCAUAUCUAACAAAUGUGUGCUAGCCCACUUGCAGGCCUGAACAAACAAUAAAAUAUGCAAUAUACUAUUGAAUACAUUACACAUGAUAUCAAGUCACUGUUUGCUCUGGUGUUUUCAUCCAACAUCAGAGAGAGCAGUCUAAUGAGGAUGAAAUAUCUAUUCUUUAAAGUCAUUUACAGAAGUCAGAUGAAAGAAAACCUUUGGGUUUUUAUGCUUCUAAUGGGAAUGAAAAAUAUGUUUUUAUUCUACACUACACUUUAGAUGCAGUAAAAGAGAGUGAAACCUCAAAAAAGAUAUCUAAGUACUCAAGCAGUCACCUCAAUUUUGGUUUUACUGAAUACAAUAAAGGAGUAUUGCGAGCCAAGACAAGCAACCAAAACACAAGUUACACAAUUACAAUUGAUUGUAAGACAUAAACGAGAACAAUACUUUGUGAAGAAAUCUGACCAAGCGCAAACUAAAAUUAACAGGAUUUUGUGAGGCAAUUAAUCCAAUAACAACAAAAUUUGCAACAAAUACACAUUAAAAUACUGUGAGUUCAUGAAGGACCCACAAAUAAUUGCACCAAAAGAGGGGAAAAUUAACUUACAGAUGGAGGAGUGGCUUCCAAGGAAGAAAAAUGAGACUUUGGGAUAAUAAGAGAGUGCCUACAAAACAAACAGGGUUUGAAUUCAAAUGAGUAGGAGACAGAUAAAGAUUUACCAGUAAAUGAAAAAAUGCAAAAGAUAAUUGACGCGUGCUCUGAACUGUUUACUUUAAUCUUUAGAAAGUAAUCACAUUAAAGUUUGAACUUUGCAUAUUGUUACAAUCAGUCAAUCACAAUCCCUCAUGUAGUCAGCACAGAACAAGGAAUACAUCCUCUUGAGGGAGGAAAAAAAUUAGCAAAUUGGUAAAACUUCUCUCAGCUGAGGUAGAGAAGGGAAAUUUUGGGUAAAUGUUUUGUUCAGUAGAACUCAAUUAAACAAGGUAAAUGCAUUCCGUUAAUGGUUCUUCUCAUUCCCUUUCAAUGGUUAAUUUCAGACAAUACAUUCUUCAAGUAACAUUAAACCAGCAUGACCAUAAGAAUUCAUUCAAGAGAGCAAGUAGGACUUCUAACAAUUGCACUUAAAGUAGCUGACACUGCACUGCAUCACCAUACCAGAGAAUCUAUAAAUAAUUUUUCCUUUUUUUAAAAAAAAAAAAUUAUAUUUUGAAUGUCUUAGCUUUUCAUG